GCGGGCGUGGCGGAACUGGCAUUCGCGCAGGACUUAGGAUCCUGUGGGCGCAAGCCCUUGGGGGUUCAAAUCCCUCCGCCCGCACCA
rnacentral:tRNA from 1 species